UCUUCCAUCUCUGGAUCCUGAAUCUACAGCUCUCUAAUCUGCAAAUACACGCAGUAGCGAUAGGUACAAUUGCAUGGUUGUGACUGCCGACCAGUACACGAGUGGGGCUGCCGUUCUCCUACCGGUAAUCAGCUGCUCCAGUGCCACCGCAUAUAUACUCCGAUGAGUAUCCUUGAUAUCUUCCCUCCACAUUGCAUCUAAUGACACACUAACACAUUGCAUCUGAUGACACACUUCCAACUGGAAUAUAUCAAUUACAUACCACGGUGAAAUUUGAAACUUCCCUUGAGAGAUGCUAAAGUACUAUUUAUUUGACCGGCUUGGUGUACAUUGACCUUUACCGCCUGAAUGUUAUGAAUUAUAUUCGUGGUGGAUGAUAUGAAUGUCGGGGAGGUGAUGGAGAAGUAUGACGAGGAACUUGUGAAGGCUGAGGGCAUGGAGAAGAAGGGGAGAAUCUAAGUGGAAGGCUGACAUUGGCGAAGGAGAAGGCUAGAUGAGUGUUGGCAUUGGCAGACAACGGGUCAUUGCAGAUGGCAUUCACUGAAUUAUUCAAGGAAUUGAAGCUCCCAAAAUGAUCAAAUAAAUAAGAUAGCAAUGAGACAUAGAAUGUCGUGUUAUUAAUUAUCUUUGUCCUCAAAAAGGAUGUCGUGAUAGUAGUCGUGCUUUGCAUAUAAGUUGCUUCAACAACUAUAUUCUUGAAAUGAUGUGCCAUAGGUAGGUGGAAAAACUAAGAAAUACAAGCAUUACUCUGUGUGUGUGAGAGAGUGCUCUACACGCUGCCUUUAUGGAUUAAACCGGUGCUCUAAUUAAAUGAUAA